GAUGAACGCUGGCGGCGUGCCUAAUACAUGCAAGUCGAACGCGCAGCGAAAGGUGCUUGCACCUUUCAAGCGAGUGGCGAACGGGUGAGUAACACGUGGAUAACCUGCCUCAAGGCUGGGGAUAACAUUUGGAAACAGAUGCUAAUACCGAAUAAAACUUAGUAUCGCAUGAUACAAAGUUAAAAGGCGCUACGGCGUCACCUAGAGAUGGAUCCGCGGUGCAUUAGUUAGUUGGUGGGGUAAAGGCUUACCAAGACGAUGAUGCAUAGCCGAGUGGAGAGACUGAUCGGCCACAAUGGGACUGAGACACGGCCCAAACUCCUACGGGAGGCUGCAGUAGGGAAUCUUACACAAUGGGCGCAAGCCUGAUGGAGCAACGCCGCGUGUGUGAUGAAGGCUUUCGGGUCGUAAAGCACUGUUGUAUGGGAAGAAAUGCUAAAAUAGGGAAUGAUUUUAGUUUGACGGUACCAUACCAGAAAGGGACGGCUAAAUACGUGCCAGCAGCCGCGGUAA
rnacentral:rRNA from 1 species